ensembl:lncRNA
GAUGCUUCUCCUUUCUUCUGCGUGUUUGCAUGUUAAAAUUUCCCUGUCGAGAUCUUCCAGACUGCGCCUGCCCAUAAGCCAUGAUUUAAUCAACUCAAGCUCGCAGUGAUCCCCUGUCACCCAAACCACCAUGAAGACAGGCCUGACGGGGAACACGGGUCGCUGACGCUAAUUGUGUUGCACACUGGGAGCAAACAGCCAAUGGCUCCGUUGUUUGAGCACGGCUCCAGACGCUAGUGUGUGUUUACACAGCGGGCCCCUGGGAGGCCUCGGCGCUGUCCGCUGCGGUUUGUAAACUUUCUAAAUCCUGUUUUCCACCAAUUUACAACAGCUCGCCAAUUACCCCCGUGCUUUAGCACAGCCCUUUCAUGGUCCACGCUUCCUGUGAUAAUCUCGGGGAGGUGAGGUGGGGUGGGGGGGUGGGUGGACAUAUGAUAACACGUGCCAGUUGAGGAAUAAAAUGUCUGCUUCGGUCUGAAGGCGGUAUUCAAUGCAGCGCAGCAUGGUGGAGUCUGCUGCUGCUGCUGCUGCUGGUGGUGACCUGCCCAAGAUGGCCUGUGAGAGGACCCAGUCAGUUCCCUCUAAGUCCACUACUCUACAGCCUAAGAACUUAAGUUCCCUCUAAGGCCACAACUCUACAGCCUAGGAACUUAAGUUCCCUCUAAGUCCACUACUCUACAGCCUAAGAACUUAAGUUCCCUCUAAGGCCACAACUCUACUGCCUAAGAACUUAAGUUCCCUCUAAGGCCACAACUCUACGGCCUAAGAACUUAAGUUCCCUCUACGGCCUAAGAACUUAAGUACCCUCUAAGUCCCACUAAUAUACUGCCUAAGAUCUGAAUUCUUUUUUUUUUUACACUGAUAGCAUGAUCUGAAUCUGAAUAAUAAACAUUAUAUGAAGUUAUUACUCAUUCCAGCCACUAUCUUUGGUCAAUUGAUGGUUUUAAAUAGAUUUUCAAACAGAGUUAAUUGAGUUUUAAAUAGAGUUCAUCGAGACCUUUCUUUGUGUGUGUGUUUUAGGUAUGUUAGGGAAUGGGCUCACGGACCCAAU